rnacentral:rRNA from 1 species
UCGGGAAUAUUGCGCAAUGGAGGAAACUCUGACGCAGUGACGCCGCGUGCAGGAAGAAGGUUUUCGGAUUGUAAACUGCUUUAGACAGGGAAGAAAAAAGACAGUACCUGUAGAAUAAGCUCCGGCUAACUACGUGCCAGCAGCCGCGGUAAUACGUAGGGAGCAAGCGUUAUCCGGAUUUAUUGGGUGUAAAGGGUGCGUAGACGGGAAAGCAAGUUAGCUGUGAAAUCCCUCGGCUCAACCGAGGAACUGCAGCUAAAACUACUAUUCUUGAGUGCUGGAGGGGAAAGUGGAAUUCCUAGUGUAGCGGUGAAAUGCGUAGAUAUUAGGAAGAACACCAGUGGCGAAGGCGACUUUCUGGACAGUAACUGACGUUGAGGCACGAAAGUGUGGGGAGCAAACAGG